AUGCGCCAAAGUGGACAAAACACUGGCCCUAAGGUCGUCGGGCUCACUGGCCUCGGCCUGUCGCGUCCUGACAUCGCCCGCAUCGUCUCCCUCACCCCCGACGGCUUCCGCACCAGAGCCAUCGUCUCCAAGCUGCACUACUACCUGCCACUCAUCGGCUCAUUGGACAACUUGCUCCGGAUGCUCAAGCUCUCAUCCCGCCUGUUGUCUUUCAACCUCGACAAGGUGGUCAAGCCCAAUGCUGCCUUCCUGAGGGAGUGCGGGCUAGGUGAUUGUGAUAUUGCCAAGCUGUGCAUCUUUGUGCCGAGGAUGCUCACCUCCAACCCGGAGCGCGUUCGGGCGAUGGUCGCAUGUGCUGAAAGAUUAGGUGUGCCGCGCGGCUCUGGGAUGCUCAGGCAAGCGCUGCAGGCCGUCGCGUUUCUCAGCGAGGAGAAGAUCGCCAGCAAAGUGGAGUAUCUGAAGAAUACAUUCAGGUGGUCUGAUGCCGAAGCAAGCAUUGCUGUCUGUAAGUAUCCGAGUCUGCUGAGGAGGUCGAAGGAAUCUCUGAAGCGUAGGUCUGAGUUCCUCUUCUCCGUGGUGGGGUUGGAACCGGCGUACAUUGCUCAUCGGCCGAUGAUUCUCAGUCUUAGCCUGGAGGGCCGACUCAGUCCCAGGUACUAUGUUAUCAAGUUCCUUAAGGCAAAUGGAUUGCUAGGUCAGUACAGGGACUUCUAUAAUAUAGUCACCCUGAGCGAGAAGGCAUUUCUGGAGAAGUUCAUAUGCCCUCACAAGGAAGCUGCACCGCACCUCGCUGAAGACUAUGCAAAUGCUUGCAAAGGGUCAUGCCGACUAAUUUCAGGUUUACAUGAACCAAGAAUAGCCUAA
rnacentral:rRNA from 1 species